AGGGUAUGAUAAGAGAAUGGUAAUUCUUCAAAAUAUUAAAGAUAGAAUCACCAUAUAACCUGGCAAUUCCACUUCCGGGUAUUCAUCCAAAAGAUUUGAGAGCAAGGACUCAAACAGAUAUUUGCACACCCAUGCUCACAGCAGCGUUGUUCACAACUGCUUAAUGGUGCAAGCAACCCAGUCUGAAUGGAUGGGUGGAUAAACACAAUGUGAUGUGUACCUACCGUGGAAUAUUCUUCAGUAUUAAAGAGGAAGGAGUCCUGACAUGUGCUGCCACAUGGAUGAAGCUUGAGAACCUUAGAGUAAGUGAAAUACAUCAGUCACAAAAAGGGCAAAAACUAUCUGAUUAUAACACUUAUGGGAAGUAUCUAAAGUAGUCACAUUCCUAGAGACACACAAUGGGAUGGUGGUUGCUAGGGGCUGGGAGGUGGAGGGAAAUGGGGAGUUUCUGCUUAAUGGGAAUAGAGUUUCAAUUUGCGCAACUCGGAAAGACUUGUUGCUUUGUUUUUUUGACUAGAUGUCAAAAAAAAUCCCAUACUCCUAUUGUAGAAAAUACCCAGUGUGGUACCAGGACACACAGCAAACUCACCAGUGACUGCAGCAUUAAAGCCAGACAGGAUUGAGUGUUUGGGGAGGAAGUGACUCCACUGGGUGGGAAUAUCUCAUGGGCAUGGACCAGGUCAGUAGACUCCUUUCGUGACUCCAGCCUUCCUGACACAGAGAUGCUUACUCAGUGUUUGAGGAAUAAAUGAUUGCCCCUGUCACCUCAUCUAGGACCCACUUCUUUUCCUCUGCCCCAGACACUCACGCAGACUCUAAAGAAUCCCCCAUCUGGCAGGACCCACCAUCUAUGCUCUAGAUGAGGCUGUGACCCACUGAGGUCAAGCAGAAGCUCAGCAGCUCCCUGAUGUAGACAACAGGACUCAGAAAUGCAACUCAGAUGGGAAGCCCUUACAGACUCGCUGUGUCCCAUUCCUCACAUGUCCUCAGAGGUCCUGGUCCAGGCUCUGGUGCAGGAGGGAAGCCCCAAGAUGGGGGCAGGACACGGGGUCUGCUCCUUGUCUGCUCCCCUCUAAGAGGAUGUCAGGGUCUCUGGGCCGUGGAGUGUCCAUCCAUGCAGUGCAGAGGUGGGGCAAGCUCAGGCCUGCGGUUCCUCUUCUGUGAAGAACCGAGGUUGUGUGCUCCUCCCCAGCUUCCCACGGGUUUGCCCGCAACCUCCUCUCCCAAUAACCUUCUCCUUCUCUUUUCAGACACAGGACAGAUGCCCAGAAUCCUCCAUCUCAGAGAUGCUGCAGCUGCUGCUGCACCUGCUGUGGGCAGGAAUGUGAUGAGCCCAGGGCAGAGAGCCUAUGCUGAUAGCCCUCAUCAAGGACAAGUGAAAGACCAGGGUGUGGGGCAUUUCUCCAUUCUGAUGCGUAUCCAGUAAAACAAAGGACUAUCAGGAACUGGGACCAGAUGUCUGCCCCCAUGCUGAGACAAGCCGCCUCCCCCACCUGGAGAAUAGCUCCUUCUGUGAUGGGCCUGUAGUCUUUGUUCGGGAGAUGUUUCUUUUGGAUAUGAGUCGGCCAUCUUCCCUCUUGCUAGCAAGCUGUAAUAAAGUCCUUUCUCUCCUACCA
rnacentral:lncRNA from 1 species